rnacentral:rRNA from 1 species
UACGUAGGGCGCAAGCGUUAUCCGGAAUUAAUGGGCGUAAAGAGCUCGUAGGCGGUUUGUCGCGUCUGCCGUGAAAAUCCGGGGCUCAACUCCGGAUCUGCGGUGGGUACGGGCAGACUAGAGUGAUGUAGGGGAGACUGGAAUUCCUGGUGUAGCGGUGAAAUGCGCAGAUAUCAGGAGGAACACCGGUGGCGAAAGCGGCGCGCUGGAUCCCUUCUGACGCUGAGGCGCGAAAGCCAGGGGAGCGAACGGG